UACGAAGGGGGCUAGCGUUGCUCGGAAUCACUGGGCGUAAAGCGCACGUAGGCGGCUUCUUAAGUCAGGGGUGAAAUCCUGGAGCUCAACUCCAGAACUGCCUUUGAUACUGGGGAGCUCGAGUCCGGAAGAGGUGAGUGGAACUGCGAGUGUAGAGGUGAAAUUCGUAGAUAUUCGCAAGAACACCAGUGGCGAAGGCGGCUCACUGGCCCGGUACUGACGCUGAGGUGCGAAAGCGUGGGGAGCAAACAGGG
rnacentral:rRNA from 1 species